rnacentral:rRNA from 14 species
GUGGGGAUGACGUCAAGUCCUCAUGGCCCUUAUGGGUAGGGCUUCACACGUCAUACAAUGGUCGGUACAGAGGGUCGCCAACCCGCGAGGGGGAGCCAAUCCCAGAAAACCGAUCGUAGUCCGGAUCGCAGUCUGCAACUCGACUGCGUGAAGUCGGAAUCGCUAGUAAUCGUGAAUCAGAAUGUCACGGUGAAUACGUUCCCGGGCCUUGUACACACCGCCC